GGAUGGAUCACCUCCUUUCUAAGGAAAAUAUCAUCUUCAGUUGUGAAAGACUUAAAAAAAGUUUUUUAUUUUUUAAGAUAAAAAUCAAUAAUGGCUUGGGCCUAUAGCUCAGUUGGUUAGAGCACACGCCUGAUAAGCGUGAGGUCGAUGGUUCGAGUCCAUUUAGGCCCACCAAAAUAUUUAUUUUAAAAAAACAAGCUCUUUGAAAAGUAGAUAAAUUAAGGUUAGAAGAAUUAAAGAAAUUAAGGGCGCACAGUGGAUGCCUUGGCACUAAGAGACGAUGAAGGACGCAAUUAACGGCGAAACGUCACGGGAAGCUGUACAUAAGUGAAGAUCCGUGGAUUUCCGAAUGGGGCAACCUGCUAUGUCAAAAACAUUAGCAUCUUUGUUUUACAACAAAGAAGAAAACGCAGUGAACUGAAAUAUCUAAGUAACUGUAGGAACAGAAAGUAAUAACGAUUCCGUUAGUAGUGACGAGCGAACGCGGAACAGCCAGAUAUCAUAUUUAGUUAUAAAAUUUUAAUGAAGUUGAAGUUUUUGGAAAGAAACACCAAAGCGGGUGAUAGUCCUUUAAACGUAAGUUAAAAUCUAAGGUAUCAAAAAGUACGGCGAGACACGAGAAAUCUUGUUGGAAUAUGGGAGGACCAUCUCCUAAGGCUAAAUACUCCUUAAGUGACCGAUAGUGAACUAGUACCGUGAGGGAAAGGCGAA
rnacentral:sRNA from 1 species